AAUGGCCGCAGUAUCUUGACUGUGCAAAGGUAGCAUAAUCAUUAGUUUCUUAAUUAGGAACUGGAAUGAAAGGUUGGACGAGAAAAUUACUGUCUCUUUAUAAAUUUUUUAGAAUUUUAUAUUUAAGUUAAAAAGCUUAAAUUUGUUUAAAAGACGAGAAGACCCUAUAGAGUUUUAUAAUUUUUUUUAUUAAUAAUUUCUAUAGAAUUUUUUUAAUUUUAAUGUAAAGAUUAUUUAAUUGGGGUGAUUAAAAAAUUUAAAAAACUUUUUUUUUAUUAAACCAUAAAUUUAUGAUGUAUUGAUCCAUAUUUAAUGAUUAUAAGAUUAAAUUACCUUAGGGAUAACAGCGUAAUUUCUUUUAAGAGUUCUAAUCGAUAAAGAAGUUUGCGACCUCGAUGUUGGAUUAAAAUUAAGUUUUGGUGUAGCAGCUAAAAUUUUAGGUCUGUUCGACCUUUAAAAUUUUACAUGAUCUGAGUUUAAACCGGUGUGAGCCAGGUUGGUUUCUAUCUUUAAAAUUAAUAAAUAUUUUAGUACGAAAGGACCAAAUAUUUAUAAUAUUUAUUUUUUAGGAAUAUUAUUAAUUAA
rnacentral:rRNA from 1 species